rfam:Oryza sativa Japonica Group DNA, chromosome 3, cultivar: Nipponbare, complete sequence.
AAAAAAAAAGGCCAUGGGUUUCCGUGUCCAACUUUGACUGUCCGUUUUAUAUGAAAUUUUUUUAUAAUUCGUAUUUUCAUUGUUGUUAGAUGAUAAAACAUGAUUAAUAUUUUAUGCGUGACUUGUCUUUUUAAUUUUUUUCAUAAUUUUUUCAAAUAAGACAGACGGUCAAACAUUGGACACAAAAACCAGGGUUUGUCUUUUU